AAUGAACGUUGGCGGCGUGGAUUAGGCAUGCAAGUCGUACGAGAAUCGUAGCAAUACGAGGAAAGUGGCGGAAGGGAGAGGAUUACGUGGGAAUCUACCCUCAGAACUGGGAUAGCGGCGGGAAACUGCCGGUAAUACCAGAUAAUGUCUGUGGACCAAAGGUGUGAUUCCGUCUGGGGAUGAGCCCACGUCCUAUUAGCUAGUUGGCAGGGUAAUGGCCUACCAAGGCAAUGAUGGGUAGCGGGUGUGAGAGCAUGACCCGCCUCACUGGGACUGAGAACGGCCCAGACACCUACGGGUGGCUGCAGUCGAGAAUCUUCGGCAAUGAGCGCAAGCUUGACCGAGCGACGCCGCGUGCGGGAUGAAGGCCUUCGGGUUGUAAACCGCUGUCGUAGGGGAGCAAGAGAUGAGGGUACUCCCUCUGAUUUGAGCGAUCCUAGGAGGAAGGACGGGCUAAGUUCGUGCAGCAGCCGCGGUAACAC
rnacentral:rRNA from 1 species